GUCAGAGUCUCUAUCAAUCAUGUUUAAUGAGGAAUUGCCUCCCUUCUCCUCAUUUUUUUGGUGGCUGUGGAGUCAGCGGAACUUGGGCCUAACGAGCCUCUGGAUUUGGCCAAUGUAGAGUUUGCAGAAUUUCCAGUCCUUAUUCAGAUGUAGUAAUCACAUACUGUUGCCCGUCUAAGCGGAAUAAGAUUUUAACAGGGAAUCCUCAUCAGUAGCUGAUAUUUCUACGGCGCAGUUCAGCUGUGAACUGUCCAAAUUCUUUACGUUUUUGCACUGUAGCUGGUGAAAAGUUUUGGAAGACCUCUAUAUGCCUAAAUUUGCUUGGUAAAUCAGAGGAUCUCAAUGCCAGCAGGAAAUUUUCUUUCACUGGAAAAAAAUUGUCUGACUAUUACAUCCCUAGGGGAAGAGUUGG